UCCCUUGUGGCUCAGCAGUAAAGCCUCUGCCUGCCAGUGCAGAAGACUCAGGUUCAAUCCCUGGCUCUGGAA
rnacentral:tRNA from 1 species